rnacentral:tRNA from 1 species
UUCCCGGUAGUGUAAUUGGUAACACUGCAGAUUCUGGUUCUGCCCUUGGGGGUUCGAGUCCUCCCCGGGAAGUCA